UACGUAGGGGGCAAGCGUUGUCCGGAUUUAUUGGGCGUAAAGAGCGUGUAGGCGGCCAGGUAGGUCUGCUGUGAAAACUCGAGGCUCAACCUCGAGACGUCGGCGGAAACCAUCUGGCUAGAGUCCGGAAGAGGAGAGUGGAAUUCCUGGUGUAGCGGUGAAAUGCGUAGAUAUCUGGAGGAACACCGGUGGCGAAGGCGGCAUCCUGGACCGGUAUUGACGCUGAGGCGCGAAAGCCAGGGGAGCAAACGGG
rnacentral:rRNA from 1 species